rnacentral:rRNA from 1 species
GAUGAACGCUGGCGGCGUGCCUAAUACAUGCAAGUCGAGCGAAUGGAUUAAGAGCUUGCUCUUAUGAAGUUAGCGGCGGACGGGUGAGUAACACGUGGGUAACCUGCCCAUAAGACUGGGAUAACUCCGGGAAACCGGGGCUAAUACCGGAUAACAUUUUGAACCGCAUGGUUCGAAAUUGAAAGGCGGCUUCGGCUGUCACUUAUGGAUGGACCCGCGUCGCAUUAGCUAGUUGGUGAGGUAACGGCUCACCAAGGCAACGAUGCGUAGCCGACCUGGUAGGGUGAUCGGGCACACGUGGACUGAGACACGGCCCAGACUCCUACGGGAGGCAGCAGUAGGGAAUCUUCCGCAAUGGACGAAAGUCUGACGGAGCAACGCCGCGUGAGUGAUGAAGGCUUUCGGGUCGUAAAACUCUGUUGUUAGGGAAGAACAAGUGCUAGUUGAAUAAGCUGGCACCUUGACGGUACCUAACCAGAAAGCCACGGCUAACUACGUGCCAGCAGCCGCCGUAA